rnacentral:rRNA from 1 species
AACGUAGGUGGCGAGCGUUAUCCGGAUUGACUGGGCGUAAAGGGUGUGCAGGCGGCUUCUCAAGUGGUGUAUGAAAUCUCCCGGCUCAACCGGGAGGGGUUAUGCCAGACUGGGGAGCUAGAGCGUGGGAGAGGGUGGUGGAAUUCCGGGUGUAGUGGUGAAAUGCGUAGAGAUCCGGAGGAACCCCAGAGGCGAAGGCAGUGUCCUGGGUGUUGGCUGACGCUGAGGUGCGAAAGCCAGGGGAGCGAACGGG